GCGCGCCCGGGUCAUAUGCCGGGGGCGGGGCCGGCCCGCGCUGCUGCUGCUCCGGCUCCGCGGCCGCUCCGCGCCUGUGGCGGCCCCGACCCGCCCGGCCCCGCCAUGUCCCCCGCCGCGCUGCUCCGGGCGCUGCUGCUGGCCGUGCUGCUGCUGCUCGGCCCGGCGCGGGCAGGCCGGCAGGCGCGGAGGCCCAACGUGGUGCUUAUCCUCACCGAUGACCAGGACGUCUGCCUGGGCGGCAUGACCCCCCUAAAGAAGACUAACGCUCUUAUUGCCCAGAUGGGAAUAACCUUCGUAAAUGCAUAUGUCCCCAGUGCACUUUGCUGUCCCAGUCGAGCUAGCAUUUUAACAGGAAAAUAUCCACAUAAUCAUCACGUUGUCAAUAACACCCUGGAAGGGAACUGUAGCAGCAAGUUAUGGCAGAAGAUUCAAGAACCAUACACCUUCCCAGCGCUGCUCAAAGCUAUGUGUGGUUACCAAACGUUCUUUGCUGGAAAAUAUUUAAAUGAGUAUGGAGCAGAGGAUGCAGGGGGAGUAGGUCACGUCCCUCCUGGAUGGAGUUUUUGGUAUGCUUUGGAGAAAAAUUCAAAGUACUACAACUAUACUCUCUCAGUAAAUGGCAAAGCACGACGGCAUGGCGAGAACUACAGCGUAGAUUAUCUGACAGAUGUACUGGCCAACAUGUCAUUGGACUUCUUGGAGUACAAAUCUAAUUUUGAACCCUUCUUUAUGAUGAUUGCAACGCCAGCACCGCACUCCCCUUGGACACCUGCUCCACAGUAUACAAAGAGCUUUCAGAAUGUCAGUGCACCAAGAAACAGCAAUUUUAAUAUUCAUGGCAAGAACAAGCAUUGGUUAAUUCGACAAGCAAAGACUCCAAUGAGCAACUCUUCAAUACAGUUUCUUGAUGACGCUUAUAGAAAACGGUGGCAAACUCUGCUGUCAGUAGAUGACCUGGUAGAGAAACUGGUGAAGAAAUUGGAAGUGAAUGGAGAGUUAGACAACACUUACAUCUUCUACACGUCAGACAAUGGCUUCCACACUGGCCAGUUUUCUUUGCCAAUAGACAAGCGGCAGCUCUAUGAGUUUGAUAUCAAAGUUCCAUUGCUAGUUCGAGGACCAGGGAUAAAACCAAAUCAGACAAACAAGAUGCUUGUUGCAAAUAUUGAUUUGGGUCCCACUAUUCUGGAUAUUGCGGGAUAUGACUUGAAUAAGACCCAGAUGGACGGGAUGUCACUGUUGCCACUGUUGAGAGGAGACAAAAAUGUCACAUGGAGAUCAGACUUCUUGGUGGAGUACCAAGGAGAAGGAUACAAUGGCAGUGAUCCCACCUGUCCUGGUCUAGGACCUGGAGUCACACACUGCUUCCCAGACUGUGUCUGUGAAGAUUCCUAUAACAACACAUAUGCUUGUGUAAGGACCCUGUCAGCCUCCUGGGAUCUGCAGUACUGUGAAUUUGAUGACCGGGAGGUGUUUGUGGAGGUGUAUAACUUGACUGCAGAUCCACACCAGAUCAAUAACAUUGCUAAAACAAUUGAUCAAGAAAUUCUAGAAAAGAUGAACUAUCGACUGAUGAUGCUGCAGUCCUGCUCAGGGGCAACGUGCCGUACACCAGGCGUCUUUGAUCCCGGGUACAGGUUUGACCCGCGGCUCAUGUUCAGCAAUCACGGCCUGCGGGCUCGGAGGUUUUCUGCACAGUUCUUGUGAGACCCUCAAGGGCCUCUUGCCGUGGGCUCCUAGUGACCAGUUCCUCCAGUGACUGCAGCAGUUCUAGGGAAAAGCCAACUGCAUGACUCCAGCUUGGCAAGAAUGACUUUGUGGAUUCCCGUGGGUUGGCAGCAAAGGCAUCAAGGAUGAGACUAAAGAUUCAUGGGAAUAUUCUCAUGCUGUUGAUAAGAGUCAUGGAAGGCUUCUGCCAUGUUAUCAGCUAACUAAAACAGGCAGCAGAUGAAAGGAAAAUAUUACAAUGAUCCAAACCAAGAACAUAACCCUUCUCCUACAACAUGAAAUCCUAAGAAAAAAACCCAGAAAACAAAAAACACGUGUUGGAGCUGUGGUGUUUUAAAAUAAUACCAAAACCAUGUUAAGUCUACAGGACUAACCAUGUUUUUUACGGAAUACCUGCUUAGUGGUUUUUCUCCUCUGCUUUUGAAGUGUUCAAAUUAACAAGGCAAAAACCUCACAAAAGUAUUUCAAGUUUCUUUUGAAAUUGUACAGUAACUUCAAAAGCUUCUCUGCAGAGUACUGAAGAAAAAACACCAGCAGCAAUUAAGCCCCACCUUUAGAAAACAGCAUCCUCCUGCCUUUGGGCUGCUCCAGGCUCUGAAGCACCACUAUGCACCAAUCCUAGACCUACUGUUCAACAAAACACCCCUGUAGUGUAAAGUCUGUUAACUUCCUGAAAUGCUCCUCUGAUAUAUCUUUUAUUUACAUCCAUUGAACUGAGGUAGAUACUGUGUUCUUUCCAUGCAACCUGCAUUUUCAAAACUCAGCCUGGUUCACAUUUAAAAAUGUCACUUGGUAACAGGUGUUAAAAGAUACUCUGUACAAGUUAUGCUGCCCUCCUGUGCCAGUAUUACUAAAAACCCACAAGUUCUGACUCAUGAGCACUCACAGACAAACCAGAGCAGAUAAAAAUACAGAAGUGUCUAACAUCUGCUCACUCACAUCUAUGGAAAAAUGUUAGGAGCAAAGAGGGCAGAUUCUGAAAGUAUCAGCUGCCAAGUCUCGAUUAAAAGAACUGUCUAGGAUUACUGGCACACAGAAAGCACCUGUCUGUCUGAAGGGAGGGCUUCAGAGCCAGUGUCCUAAUACAACUUUGCCUGGGAAAAAAACCAGGAGGCUGAACCUCACUGUCAUCAAAUAUCCUGGCAUUCUAAUUCCUCCCAAGACAUGCUGGAAACAGCUGAAAUAUCUGCUCACAUUCCAGAUUCUGUAUUUAAAGAGAGAAAUCUUAGAUUUGUAUUGCUAUUUUCUCUCCUGCUGUGUGUGAGGCCACAGUGCUAUAUUUAGGUUUACAGAGUUAGUGAAGGGGGUUUUGCACUCCUCUCAUGAGUGUUCACGGUAAAGUGAAGGCAAAACAGAACUACUUUAUCUGUAAUGUCCUUAUUCCUCUGGAGAAUGCACUCAAGAAAGACAGAACCAAGUUAGUACCUUAUACAGCAUGAUAAAAAGUUAGAUUUGGCAAUUGCGGGAUUAAUCCUUGGAUUUAAAAAAAACCUUCAAAAUUCCAGUUGUGAACACUGCCCUUUCCAAAAGCUGAAGAGGGAGAGGCAGAGAAGAGAAAGUGCAAUAAAACUACAGAUUUCAAAAACCGCCUUUGAGGAAAGCAGGAAGGAUACAGCUUGGGAAGCCAUUUGCUAGUACUGGGUGCCUCAGUGCAGGGUGUUGGGCUGGGUUCCUUUCAGGCCUACGCUGCUACAGCUGAAACCACUUCUAAUUUCAGCUUGCACAAGGGCAAACAAGAACACUCCAGAAUUACCUCUCACCUUGCUAGCACAUAACACAAGAAGGUGCUUUUCAGACAAACAUGUCCUGGCCUUUGCAGCAGUUCCUUGAAAAAUACCACAAAACGAGUGCCAGCAGCCAGGCUUGGUGUCUGAAGUGCUUGGCUCAAACUGCUCUGAACUGGGCAUUGCCUGCUUCUCCACACUGGCUACUGCAGCAAUCUCUCAUACCCACACAUGCAUCAAGAGGGAAAUAAUUCCUCCAGAACAGGUAAGUCCUCAGUUCACAGCACUAAACCUGUGUUCUGAACAGCAGAUCCCAGUGUGUCUCCUCUUAUCUGCUUGAAUUUUCACCACAGUCUCUGCUUCUUGACCAAGCACGUGUAGCAGAUGCAUAACUUCACACAUUCGGAAGUCAUCCACUUGCCUUCAUCAUCAACAGUAAGAGGCUCUGAACCUUUCAGUUGUCCUGUAAGGAUCAACUGCAGCUUUUUAUUCACCUGAUCCAACCAAGGCAGGAGGUGAAAUCCCCAAAUGGCACCAAAUUAAUUAUAAAGAAGAUGUAAGAUACAAGACAACAUUGGACUGGAAAGUUAGUUGACUUAAUACGACCUUAUUCCAGAGAUACUAGUAACAAGUUAUCAUCUUUUUUCUUUCCUAAACAACUUGUUAAAACUAGUAUUUCAGACUAAAUUAAGGAUUCUGUGGAGGUUUGAGGCCCAAGGUAAAAGUAUACACACUUUUAUGAGUUUUUAUUUUCUGAAAUGAAUAUAAAUACAAAAUUGCCAUAAUCCUAGACAGUUUUAUUCCUUAUCAUUAGCCUGAUGUAUACUAGCAAAUCUCCCUCUAUAAAUGUAUAAAUACUGCACUAGUCAGCAUUGCUUUGCUCAAAACUCACUUAUUUACAAAAAGUGCUUCUAUUUUCCAACUUUAUAGGAGAAACUAUUUCUCCUGCAUAUGAACUUAAAUAGUGUAAUUUAUAUGCUCCUGCAAGAUGAAAGGUGUAGAAGUUGAGAAAGCACAGUUACUUCCCAACAAACACAAGCAUGCUAUUGAACAUUAAAAUGAAGGAGGAAAACGCACCUGAAUGGUUCUACAUCAAUGGGAGAUGGUAAAAAGGGAAUGCUAAUGAAACUUGCAAGGCCUGCAGCUGGAAAUCCCCAUGCUGGGAACCUGGAAAGGAGGAGGGCAGGAAGGGAAUGGAGUCUGGUGGGUUUUCACAAAUGUUCAAAAAUUUCAGUGCUGACAAUUCGGCCUGCAGGAAGACAAAGCAGACUGACAAUCUGUCCAUCCCUGCCAUGGAGAGGAGGGGCCCAGCUGCUUCCACAGACAGUGCUGCUGUCCUGCUCUGCCUCCACACUGAACUCGUCAGUCUCCAGAUGGAUGAUUCUGCCCCUGAUCCAGCCAAAACACACGAGAUUUCUUUUGCUGAGUUGUAUUUCUGGUAGUACCUAACUGCCACAGGCAGAGCCCUGUGACUUGUGUGGGCAGCAGCUUUGCUGACUCCAGUACCUUUAAGGGUUUUAUCCAUCCAGCCUGGCUGAGUGCUGAAGUAUUUGCAGGCCUUACCAAGUGCACACACAGUUGUAAUGGGGUUGUUGCACACACCAAACUGUGAGGUCUCACAUAAACCAGCUUCAAGGCACUGGCUGAGCCACUGCCAUCUCCUCUGCUGCGGGGCCACGGGGCCCAGGGAAGAGCCACAGAGACAGCAAACAGCUCAGCAGCUCCCUUCUACCAAUUCAAUCAGGGAGGAAUAAACAUCUGUGGAACACAGAACAGAAUAAACUUCUAUGAAACACAGAACAAGGAAAUUAAACAGGCAUGUUCCUGAAGAAAACCACUAAAAAGCCAUUAAAGGUAAGAAGGAGUAAAAAGCAUUUCCCAGGGAGGCAGGGCUGGGGUGUCACCUCCAGCCUUGGUGUAUUGGCUUCGUUUCUGCAGGUGUUUUUUAACAGAAAGGAAACCACGCCCAUGGGCUGUCCCACCCAGCACCACUGCGCUCCCCCUAUGGAGGGGUCAGCUCCGUGAGCCCCCCAACCCUCACCCCCUCCCUCUCUCCCAGGCAAACCCUAAUUUAUGCUGAAGGCAGCUGUGUCUGCCCACAGCACUCGUUGCUGCUUUACAGGGAAAUCCAUUUGGCCUCAAAGUGAUCACAACACCCAUCGCCAGGUAAAGGAAAACCCAAACACGUCACGUAACCAAGUAUUGCCAACUUCAACUUUAAUAAUGGAACCAUCACUUUUUUGCCAUUUCAGUAAUAACUUUAAGGGGAAUAAAAACUUCCCUACAAAAAUAAAACUAAGCUUGUUAAAAUUAUAAAUAGUUUAAAUGUUUGUAUUUAAAGACAUACAUUUUAAUGUUUCCCUGCAUUCCCCCCUCCCUCAUCAUUUAGUCAUUCUGGUACCAUCAUAUAAUGACAAGAAAACAGUUUUGCAACAAAAGCUUUGACAGUUCAAUUUGAUGCUAAAAUUAAAAAAGAUAAAAACUGACCAGGCAAGACCAUUUCUUUUAAAUUAAAGCUGCUGUAACUGCCAGUGUGUAGAACAAAAAAGACAAAAAUUAACUCCACACAUGACAUCUUACAAUAAUUAACUGUGAACUAAGACAAAAUUAAAAUAAAAGUUUAUUUUGGUCCCCCACCCCCUUCCCCUUCAUCCCAAAUCAAGACUCGUAGUGCAUACAACACUGAUUGAGGUUUUUGGCUAAAGUAAAUGCAGAUGUGCCUACUUAAAAAGUCUGAUAGUUUAGUUCAAGUAAAACCAAAAUUCACAUAUUUUUAUACUCAACUUUAAAACUCAAACAGUGUUUAAAUCUGAGCAACAAAUGGUUCAAUAUUGACAGCGAUUAUGCAAUGGUUACAUAGCUAUGAGCAGAAACAUAAAUUAAGGUGUUAACAGAAUACCCACCAACAUGCUGCUGCAUUCCGAGAAAAACAAAUUGUAACAAAACACAAAAGCAUUCCCUGAACCAUUAUAAAGUGUCUCACUUGAGGAUAAUGUUACUAACUCACACAUGCACUACAAUGUUACAUGUGAUAUUAAAAAACCAAACAAGAUAUGUCUCAGAUAUAUUUUAUAGUUAGUCCUACUCUUAAUUUCUCUUAACUCUUUAAAACAUUAUGAUUGUCUCAUAAGCUUGCAAGUUCUUUUCACCUAAAAAACUUGUGAAGAGUUUUUAAAAGAAUCUUAUUAAGGAAAGGAAACAAAGGCACAAUUACAUAAAAUUAAGGGGAAGAACAGAAGCAUCUUGGAGUUUCACACAGUAUCCAUUAGAUGUCACCAAAGUUUUAACAAUUCCUUGAGAAUUUAAAAUGAACACAUUAGGAACAGAGGGGGGGGAAAAAACCCACCACGACUUCUGCUGCUCUUCAAUCUUUAGCACUCCUCCACUCCCUCAGCCCCAGUACAUAACUCAUUUCCUCUCUGGCAUGAUAAUGACUACAGUAUCAGUCACUCAAAUAUGCCUCGUGCUUCCAUGCUUCUAUUGCACACCCACUUCUUUGGUUUCUUUUGAACAUGCUUUUUUUUUUUUUUUUUAGAUAAAUAA